rnacentral:rRNA from 1 species
UACGUAGGGGGCUAGCGUUGUUCGGAAUUACUGGGCGUAAAGGGCUCGUAGGUGGCCAACUAAGUCAGACGUGAAAUCCCUCAGCUUAACUGGGGAACUGCGUCUGAUACUGGAUGGCUUGAGUUUGGGAGAGGGAUGCGGAAUUCCGAGGUGUAGCGGUGAAAUGCGUAGAUAUCUGGAGGAACACCGGUGGCGAAGGCGGCAUCCUGGACCAACACUGACACUGAGGAGCGAAAGCCAGGGAGCAAACGGG